GACACCAUUUCAUGCGAUCGUUCUUGCCUCCAAGCUGAUUGAUGACAAGUGUUAAAUUUAAAUAAUGCCAUGUUUAGGAAAGAGAGGAAAAGGAAACUUUGGGAUUCUCUGUGGCCUGAGUCAGGCAAGGCAACAGGCCAGCCUUUCUCCAAGGUUUAAAAAAAAACAACUUGUCCUUAGAAACCCGGCGAGGGCACGUGGAAUGGUUCUAAAUGAAGGUAUCAACCAGACUAUGGAAAAGCUUAAUGAAAUAAUGCACAAAAGACUCAUAAGCAUCAGUGAAAUCUCUCAACUAACCAAGCACCUUAUUUAUGAAAGAGGUGAUUUUCUAAAGCACGGUCACACAAAAAAUGGAGACUGGUAGGUGCGAGAGUAGGGCAGGAGUCACAGCAGUGCCAGCAGCAGAUCUAUAUUCUAUGGCAGUGGAAAGGGCCUGAUGGGGAGCAACUAGGGCCACUGUGGUCUAGCUAUUCAUAUGCUCUAGGUUUUUUGGUAUUCUUAAUAAACAUGCACUUUCUUUUAAAAAUGUUUUUUAA
rnacentral:lncRNA from 12 species